GUCCCUGAUCCCAUUCCCAUCCCAGGUCCCAGCAAGGCAGCAACCCUAGCUCAGUAGCUCCCAGGUGGCCGACGGGCCGACCGCGGACGGCGUCCUCCUCCAGGCUCUAGUCCGGCUCCUCCCAAGCUCCCAGGCCCCAGCAGGCCAGCACCGUAGUGCGCACAGACGCGCAGUCCUCCUCCCAGGCUCCCCGCUCCCAGCGGCCACCGGCCAGCACCGCUUUUCUUCAUGCAGACUGCAGACCUUCACUGUUGCUGGCUUGCUUCAUAUGGCGCGUUGCUUUGCUGUUGCUGGCUUGCUGCGUUUGUUAACUUAAAAACUGGCGCAUUGCUUUGCAGACCUGGGCACCUGGCGCGCGCCUGGCGAAGUUUCUAUGUACAAGCAUAGCUUCACCUUCACCCCCCAAACUUGCUACUUGAGAUGCAGUUAAAAUUUAUGUAACAAUAGUACUUUGUCUCAGUUUUUUUGUGUACAUUGUGGACUUAUGCAAGUUAUUAAACUCUAGUAUUUUAUGAUUCCAUUAUUAUAUAGAUGUAUUGUACUCU